rnacentral:rRNA from 1 species
UACGGGGGGAGCAAGCGUUGUUCGGAUUUACUGGGCGUAAAGGGCGCGUAGGCAGCCGCCUAAGUCAGACGUGAAAUCCCUCGGCUCAACCGGGGAACUGCGUCUGAUACUGGGUGGCUUGAAUCCGGGAGAGGGAUGCGGAAUUCCAGGUGUAGCGGUGAAAUGCGUAGAUAUCUGGAGGAACACCGGUGGCGAAGGCGGCAUCCUGGACCGGCAUUGACGCUGAGGCGCGAAAGCGUGGGGAGCGAACGGG